ensembl:snoRNA
ACCCCCUGGCAAUGGGCAAAGAGACACCUUGGCGGUGGUGGUGCUCUUAUAUCAGCCUGGGGCAGAGCAGACGCGGUCCUUUGUUCAUCCUAGCUUGAUGCCUGGGUUGGUGGCCAGAGCUGUUUCAUGCCUAGGGCACAGAA